rnacentral:rRNA from 1 species
AUUGAACACUGGCGGCAUGCCUUACACAUGCAAGUCGAACGGCAGCACGGGAGCAAUCCUGGUGGCGAGUGGCGAACGGGUGAGUAAUAUAUCGGAACGUGCCCAGUCGUGGGGAUAACGUAGCGAAAGCUACGCUAAUACCGCAUACGAUCUAUGGAUGAAAGCGGGGGAUCGCAAGACCUCGCGCGAUUGGAGCGGCCGAUAUCAGAUUAGGUAGUUGGUGAGGUAAAGGCUCACCAAGCCGACGAUCUGUAGCUGGUCUGAGAGGACGACCAGCCACACUGGGACUGAGACACGGCCCAAACUCCUACGGGAGGCAGCAGUGGGGAAUAUUGGACAAUGGGCGAAAGCCUGAUCCAGCCAUGCCGCGUGUGUGAAGAAGGUCUUCGGAUUGUAAAGCACUUUAAGUUGGGUAGGAAGGGUAGUAACCUAAUACGUUGCUACUUUGACGUUACCGACAGAAUAAGCACCGGCUAAC